GUCUAAGGCCAUACCACCCUGAAUGCACCAUAUCUCAUCUGGUCUCGAAAUCUAAGCAGGGUCAAGCUUGGUUAGUACUUGGUUGGAAGACAGAUGUUCAGAAGAGACU
rnacentral:rRNA from 1 species